rnacentral:rRNA from 1 species
AAACCACUUUACGGAUUGAUACUAAGCUAUGCGAGUAUUGUAGCAAUACAAGGCAGACGGCUCAGUAACGCGUAGUCAAUCUACCCUAUGGACGGGAAUAACCUCGGGAAACUGAGAAUAAUGCCCGAUAGAACAUUAUGCCUGGAAUGGUCUAUGUUUCAAAUGAUUUAUCGCCAUAGGAUGGGACUGCGGCCUAUCAGUUUGUUGGUGAGGUAAUGGCCCACCAAGACUAUUACAGGUACGGGCUCUGAGAGGAGUGGCCCGGAGAUGGGUACUGAGACACGGACCCAGGCCCUAUGGGGUGCAGCAGGCGAGAAAACUUUGCAAUGUGCGAAAGCACGACAAGGUUAAUCCGAGUGGUUUCUGCUAAAGAAACCUUUUGUCAGUCCUAGAAACACUAACGAAUAAGGGGUGGGCAAGUCUGGUGUCAGCCGCCGUGGUAAUACCAGCACCCCGAGUGGUCGGGACGAUUAUUGGGCCUAAAGCAUCCGUAGCCGGUCCUACAAGUCUUCCGUUAAAUCCACCUGCUCAACAGAUGGGCUGCGGAAGAUACUAUAGGGGCUAGGAGGCGGGAGAGGCAAGCGGUACUCAGUGGGUAGGGGGUAAAUCCUCUGAUCCAUUGAAGAACACCAGUGGCGAAGGCGGCUUGCCAGAACGCCUCGACGGUGAGGGAUGAAACCUUGGGGGAACAAACCGAAAUUAGAUUCCCGGGGUUAUCCC